CUGAACGCCUCUAAGUCAGAAUCCAUGCCAGAACGCGGUGAUACCACCCGCACGUAUAGAUGGACAAGAAUAGGCUUCGGCUUAGCGUCUUAGCAGGCGAUUCUUCCACGGCGCUCGAAGCGCGUCGUGGUAUUUCGCGUAUUGUAAUUUCAACACGAGCGGGGUCAAAUCCUUUGCAGACGACUUAGCUGUGCGAAACGGUCCUGUAAGCAGUAGAGUAGCCUUGUUGUUACGAUCUGCUGAGGGUAAGCCGUCCUUCGCCUCGAUUUCCCCAAUGGGUUCUCCGGAUUUCUGGAGACUUGUAGGGGUUGUGGGUUUUUUCGAUGUGUCGUCUCCGGACGGGCGGUGCAGGGUAGUCGAGUUAGACUUGGUGGAAUUCGAUUCCGUCGAGUAUGGCUGGCACGAUCGUGUGCGGUUGUGUGUUGGACGGUGCAGGGUAGGCUGCUUGGACAUGGUCGGUUCGAGGAUCGAUUCGAGGGCCGGCCUGUCGAUGAUGUGUGAUGUAUGCGGUCUAGGGUAGGCUGGUUUGUCUUGGUCCAAUUUGAUGUCGGCUCCCGUGCAGGCUAGAGUGAGGGGGGUCCAGGGUAGGUACAGGGUAGGCAGCUUAGAUUUGGUCGAUCUGGAGGUCGAUUCUCCGGCUGGUGGAUCUGACCCUGUCGAAACGAGAUGCGAGCGGUGUAGGGUAGGCUAGUUUCGUCCUCGCCAGGUUGCGAUUUGGACGAGAUAUGUGGUCUAGGGUAGGCUCUAGGGUAAGUAGAAUUCGAGUUUCGUCGCCGACAGUUUUCUGUGGGUGUAUGGUAGGUACAGGGUAGGCAAAACUCUCUCCGGCCAGUACUUGUCUGGUGGUCGUGAGUCGAUUUUUUUGUUUUGCCAUACUAUUGAAUUUUGCGGAAAUUCAAAAGUGGCUCGGGAGUCCCGCCUGGCGUGCGUCCGACUCGAACAUCGUCGGUGUACAUAUGAGAGGGAGUAAUCCGGCCCGGCCGGGGCCCAUCGCGAGCUGCCGGGUAGGUAAAAGUAAAAAAGUUGUUAAGAGGCGCGGUGUCGGCGUGCUUGUAUUUGCGGGAGAGAAUUUUCUGGAGGUGCUGGGUAGCCGGGAAGACUUGGACGGAUCUGGCCCGGGAAUGGGUCUGGGCCUGGAUUCUGGUGUGGUGUAGGAUAGGCGUAGAUAGAUGAGUGGUCUAGGGUAGAUACAGGGUAGCCAGAAGUCUGGUAUAUAGUGUGGGGGGUGUAGGGUAGGUCUGGACACCGUUUUCCACUUCGCCCUUCCCUUUACUCGAGGGAGGACGAUCUUGGCUGGGAUGGAGGUGUAGGGUAGGCUUAAUUUACGAUUACAUGAUCUGUGUCACUCUAGGGUAGGUGAAAAUCCCAUAUAUAUCUGAUCACAUUUGGAGAAGAGGUGGUUUGGCUGGUGAGAUGGACAAAAGUGCAAUGUAGAAUUAUAUGUGAUUUUGCAAAAGUGGGUGUGAAAUUGGGAAAUCGGUUUCCCCGCACAGAUGAGAGCACGUUUGAGGUGCCAUGAGAUGCACCUCUCCGAGACGACCUCAACGGUACCACCGAUGUGUUGGUCCGGCUCCUGUGCGGCCGUCCAGGGCGGGAUAUGUAGAGAAUGUGGUGGUGUAGGGUAGGUGGCCAGGUCCAGGGUAGGUUCUCCAAAUCCGUCAAUCCGGCUUGAAUCGAAGGACAGGUCUAGGGUAGGCCAGAGUCGGGUCUAGGGUAGGCAGCUCUCACCCUCGAAGUGGUCUACCCGGUAGUCAACUUCAAUCGCCUCUCACGGCCGCCACGGACCUCGCAUGACGACGGGACCACCACCAUCGGAUUUGCCUUGGUCGAAAUAGUCGGUAUAUGCACUUUUGCAAAAAUGCGUGCAAAAUGGUUUUGUGGUUUGGUGGUCGUGAGUCGAUUUUUUUGUUUUCCCAUACAAAUGAAUUUUGCGGAAAAUAAAAAGUGGCCCACGAAGCAGUUCUGGCGUGCGGCCCACUAAAACGGUCUCGGAGGGUAUAUGAGAAGGGAGCAAAUCCGGCCGAGCCUGAAAGGGUGAGGACAAACCGGGCGAGCAACCUCUCAGUAUCAGAUCUUGCAGACUUCCACUGCGUGUCCCUCUGUACAGCUUUGCAGGCUCCGGCCUCGGCAGCGGGGGGUUCAUAGUGGUCGUCGACCUCCACGAAACUGCACGCUCCGGCGUGACAGCGUACUGGGGAUGCCUGUGUAGAUGCAGUCCGGGCUUGCCUGGACCGCUAGCAGAUGGGCUCUGUGGAUGACUGGCCGCUGGCUAGACCUGAAACCUGAGCAACGGGAGGUAACCUCUCGCCGCGGACACCGGAAUGGUAGAAGCGGCGUGCUGCGUCCUCCUCUUGGGGCCCCUAAGCCACACCUCCCAUAGCGGGUUCGGUGCGGCGGACGGACGCCCUGGGGAAUUUAGAGGGGGAAAGCGGAUUGCCCUAGCGGUGUUGUUGGCCCUGCCGACCUCACUGCGAAAGGCGCGACUUCACCGUCGCCACCCAGUAACUUGUCUCUCCGGCGCUUCACGGCGCUGGUGGCCAACCCCGGCACACGAUAGUUACCUGGUUGAUUCUGCCAGUAGUCAUAUGCUUGUCUC
rnacentral:misc_RNA from 1 species